AACUGCCGGGUGGCAGUCCUGCCCCCAGUUCAAUGGACUCACUGUUGUUUCUCCUGGUGGAAGUAUUCCUCCCUUUGGAACCAAGACCUCCAGGCCAGCAG